rnacentral:rRNA from 1 species
GUGCAGCAGGCGAGAAUUUUUCUCAAUGGGGGCAACCCUGUUAAGGAGCGACGCCGCGUGGAGGAUGAAGGCUUUCGGGUUGUAAACUCCUGUCAUUUGAGAACAAGUGGCCGAACCUAACUACUUCGGCCUUGAUAGUAUCAGAAGAGGAAGGGACGGCUAACUCUGUGCCAGCAGCCGCGGUAAUACAGAGGUCCCAAGCGUUGUUCGGAUUCAUUGGGCGUAAAGGGUGCGUAGGUGGCGCCGUCAGUGGGGUGUGAAAUUUCGGAGCUUAACUCCGAAACUGCAUUCCAUACUGCGGUGCUUGAGGACUGGAGAGGAGACUGGAAUUUACGGUGUAGCAGUGAAAUGCGUAGAGAUCGUAAGGAAGACCAGUGGCGAAGGCGGGUCUCUGGACAGUUCCUGACACUGAGGCACGAAGGCCAGGGGAGCAAACGGGAUUAGAUACCCGGGUAGU